rnacentral:rRNA from 1 species
CCCUUAGAUGUUCUGGGCCGCACGCGCGCUACACUGACGGAUUCAACGAGCUUACAACCUUGGCCGAAAGGUCUGGGUAAUCUCCAAAAUCCGUCGUGAUGGGGAUAGAUUAUUGCAAUUAUUAAUCUUCAACGAGGAAUGCCUAGUAAGCGCAAGUCAUCAGCUUGCGUUGAUUACGUCCCUGCCCUUUGUACACACCGCCCGUCGCUCCUACCGAUUGAAUGGUCCGGUGAAGCGCUCGGACCGCGGCCUCUUGACGGUUCGCUGUCGAUUGGCUGUGGGAAGUUCGUUAAACCUUAUCAUUUAGAGGAAGGAGAAGUCGUAACA